rnacentral:rRNA from 1 species
AUUGAACGCUGGCGGCAUGCUUUACACAUGCAAGUCGAACGGCAGCGCGGGCUUCGGCCUGGCGGCGAGUGGCGAACGGGUGAGUAAUGCAUCGGAACGUGCCCAGUAGUGGGGGAUAGCCCGGCGAAAGCCGGAUUAAUACCGCAUACGACCUGAGGGUGAAAGCGGGGGACCGAAAGGCCUCGCGCUAUUGGAGCGGCCGAUGUCGGAUUAGCUAGUUGGUGGGGUAAAGGCUUACCAAGGCGACGAUCCGUAGCUGGUCUGAGAGGACGACCAGCCACACUGGGACUUAGCCACGGCCCAGACUCCUACGGGAGGAAGCAGUGGGGAUUUUUGGACAAUGGGGGCAACCCUGCUCCAACCAUUCCGCGUGCGGGAAGAAGGCCUUCGGGUUGUAAACCGCUUUUGUUCGGGAAGAAAUCCUCUGGGCUAAUACCCCGGGGGGAUGACGGUACCGGAAGAAUAAGCGCCGGCUAACUACGUG